rnacentral:rRNA from 1 species
UUUGAUUUCCUUCGGGACUGAUUAUUUUGUGACUGAGUGGCGGACGGGUGAGUAACGCGUGGGUAACCUGCCUUGUACAGGGGGAUAACAGUUAGAAAUGACUGCUAAUACCGCAUAAGACCACAGCACCGCAUGGUUCGGUGUGAAAAACUCCGGUGAUAUAAGAUGGACCCGCGUUGGAUUAGCUAGUUGGCAGGGCAGCGGCCUACCAAGGCGACGAUCCAUAGCCCCGACCUGAGAGGGUGACCGGCCACAUUGGGACUGAGACACGGCCCAAACUCC